AACGAACGCUGGCGGCAGGCUUAACACAUGCAAGUCGAACGCCCCGCAAGGGGAGUGGCAGACGGGUGAGUAACGCGUGGGAAUCUACCUAGUUCUACGGAACAACACAGGGAAACUUGUGCUAAUACCGUAUACGCCCUACGGGGGAAAGAUUUAUCGGAAUUAGAUGAGCCCGCGUAAGAUUAGCUAGUUGGUGGGGUAAUGGCCUACCAAGGCGACGAUCUUUAGCUGGUCUGAGAGGAUGAUCAGCCACACUGGGACUGAGACACGGCCCAGACUCCUACGGGAGGCAGCAGUGGGGAAUAUUGGACAAUGGGCGCAAGCCUGAUCCAGCCAUGCCGCGUGAGUGAUGAAGGCCUUAGGGUUGUAAAGCUCUUUCAGUAGGGAAGAUAAUGACGGUACCUACAGAAGAAGCCCCGGCUAACUUCGUGCCAGCAGCCGCCGUAACAC
rnacentral:rRNA from 1 species